rnacentral:lncRNA from 1 species
GCUUGUGUCUUAGGUUCCUGGUACCCACUGACCCCGCAGGACUGGGAUGUGAACUUAGCAAGGAGAAAGUGACAAAAGCCAGUAAUGCCAGUGAAGGAAACCAGCAGUAGGUCCUGGACCCUCUCACCCACAAUGAAGGAGCUGCUGGAAGACAGGACUGUGUGCCUUCUGCAGGUCUCCAAGAUCCCAGAGUCAAACAGGGCCCUCUGACGCCUACAGCAGUUUGUCAGUGGGCCCCCUCCUUUGUCACCGGGGCGCAUGUCUGUGUGGAGCGCAUACAUUACGCGGCGCUUGUGUGUGCGUCGCAUCGGGGACCCCUGUGACCUACAAUUCAACACAGGGUUUGUCACCAAGCCUCUUUAGCCUGUCAGCAUUUUUUUAAGUUUGUUUUGUUCCCUAUGCUAAUAAAGCUUGUCUCUGCUUCAAUCAAAGCAUUUUAUCGCUCCUUUUUUUUUUCUCCUGCAAGCAAGGCAGCAGUCUGUUCUGUUUAAAGGCCUGGUCAUCCUCGAGCCCCCAUCCCUGCUCCCCUAGAUUUUCGAGAUCGUUGACUAUGAUGUAACAGAUGGCCAAACAGACCUCCGACUCUUUGCCGUGUUGGCCAGCCUAGCUCCAAAAAAUAGCAGCAGUGAGUGAGUAUUCCCAGGCAUGGGACGCUCAUGAAUUUUAACUCCUGUGCAACAAAGGAAUUCAAAGAGGGUAAGAGCCAAUCUAUCAGGAGCCGAGGCAAUUAAAAGACGUAGGUUGGCAUCCUGCAGCAGAGG